rnacentral:misc_RNA from 1 species
UUAAGUUCAGCGGGUAGUCCUACCUGAUUUGAGAUCAAACAUUCAAAGGGUUGUCCUCACUGAGGAGAGACGUCUAUGAGCUCCAGCGAACCUCCACUGCUGAAGGUUAUCUGGUGGAAAACCACAAGCGUAGAUAGUUAUCACACCCAUGAUACCCACCAAACACUGGUAAGCUGAUUUAUUUUAGAGGAGCUGACCUG